GAGUAAUGGGUUCUAGUGGUGCCCUGCUAGAACCCUUACAGCCUGGAUCUCAACCAGAUGCUGUUAAACGGGCAUUUC
rfam:White-eye coronavirus HKT16, complete genome